UACAGAGGUCUCAAGCGUUGUUCGGAUUCAUUGGGCGUAAAGGGUGCGUAGGCGGCGCGGUAAGUCGGGUGUGAAAUCUUGGAGCUUAACUCCGAAACUGCAUUCGAUACUGCCGUGCUUGAGGACUGGAGAGGAGACUGGAAUUUACGGUGUAGCGGUGAAAUGCGUAGAUAUCGUAAGGAAGACCAGUGGCGAAGGCGGGUCUCUGGACAGUUCCUGACGCUGAGGCAACGAAGGCCAGGGGGAGCAAACGGGG
rnacentral:rRNA from 1 species